rnacentral:rRNA from 1 species
UCGAGAAUCUUUCGCAAUGGGCGAAAGCCUGACGAAGCGACGCCGUGUGAGCGAAGAAGGCCUUCGGGUUGUAAAGCUCUUUCGCUAGGGAACAAGAAAGUGGCGCUAAUAACGCUACAAUUUGAUGGUACUUGGUAAAGAAGCACCGGCUAACUCCGUGCCAGCAGCUGCGGUAAUACGGAGGGUGCAAGCAUUGAUCGGAAUUACUGGGCGUAAAGGGCGCGUAGGCGGAUUGGUAAGUCAGAUGUGAAAUUCCGCGGCUCAACUGCGGAGCUGCAUUUGAAACUGCCAGACUAGAGCGUAGCUAGGGAAAACGGAAUUCCACGUGUAGCGGUGAAAUGCGUAGAUAUGUGGAAGAACACCAGUGGUGAAGACGGUUUUCUGGGCUAUAGCUGACGCUGAGGCGCGAAAGCUAGGGGAGCAAACA